CGCCACCGCACUCCAGUGUAGGCGACAGAAUGAGACUCUGCCUCCAAAAACAAAAAGGGAAUUUUCCUUCCCAUUCUAUCUCACUAGUUCUCGUAUCCCCACCCUGUUAUUAAAUAUCAUUGACCCCAAGGUUUCUUCAUAGCCCUUAUCACAUUUUAUAAUCCCAUAUUUAACUUAUUGUUUACGUGUCUGCCUCCUCAUCUAGGUAGGGAACCCCAGGGCCAGGCCUGUCCUCAGCACUGCUCGGCACAAGGCCAGGUACAGAACAGGCGCAUAAUAAAUAUUUAUUGAAUGGAUGACAUCAGAAAUAACUCUCAUUUGAAACCAAAGAUCUAGGUCUUGGACCAGAAAAGUCUCAGCCUUGGCCGGGCACGGUGGACCUCGUGAACCCCCAAACAGAGACAUCUCUGUG
rnacentral:lncRNA from 1 species